UGUAGUUCUCAGUCGCGGGUCAGCCCCCGCCGGGAGGGUGAGGGGUCGCUGGGGGCGCGCUCUGCGGGGUCCCGAGGCACCUCCGCACUGCCGGAGGGACCCGAGGCUCGGCGCGCUCUUGCCCGCCAGUGCAGGAGGGGGAGGCUGAGUACGCCGGGUGCUGCCCGGGAGGAAAGGCCUGCUCUAGCCCGGUGCCUGUGCGGGCCUGCGCGAAAGGAGGCGCGGGACGGGGUCGGACCCAGAGGCCGAGACCACCGCGCGCCCGCGCCCCUGGGAGACAGGGAUCCUCACCAGGGAAAACAAACCUGACCUGCAGCUUUUCAGCCUGAGAUUUCAGGGAAGAAGAGUCGCAGGAAGGAAUAUAUCGUGCAGCCGCCGAGGUCGAAGCCGUUUCUGAUUGCUUUACCAGGGAAAUGUAGGAUUAAGGUGAAGCUGCAAAAUCCUCUGUGACUAUCAGAGAUGAGAACAAGUUUAAAAUGGAUUCGACUGGUUUUAUGAUCUUUGAGAUGAAACUUCAAAGCAAUCAUAGAAGCCAAAUAUGAACAAACACCAUGUGUUGGGAGAGAAAAGGCAAAAAGUGGUAUGAAGAGAUAAAAAUGGCUUUGGUGAGAGGUAAAAAAAUCUAGAUUAAUCAGCAGCUGCUGCCUCCAUGUCCCAAAACUCAGCGUAAGGAGCCAUCAGCUAGGAGUUAGGGCCAGGGCUAUAUCUCAGCAACUGCAAAGUCGGCGUUCCUUUUUCUAUCUUUGUUAAAAAACAUAUUAAAAUGCAACACCUUCCGAUUAGUUUGCAAGAACAAGUUGACUCCUAUCAGGAAAGACAGAGAACCACCAGCACAAUUCCAAUAAGGACCUCUGCAUAAAAAUGGGACCCAAAAAUAAGUAUACGGAUUCCACAGGCAGAGGCCAGCAAUACCCUUUCUUCAUUCAAACCAUGUUUCCAGUAAACAGAAUCUCGUCAGAUCCCACAUCCCUGCAUCAAAAAGCAUUAAAGCAAUGAUGAAAACCA